GAUGAACGCUGGCGGCGUGCCUAAUACAUGCAAGUCGAGCGAACAGACGAGGAGCUUGCUCCUCUGACGUUAGCGGCGGACGGGUGAGUAACACGUGGAUAACCUACCUAUAAGACUGGGAUAACUUCGGGAAACCGGAGCUAAUACCGGAUAAUAUAUUGAACCGCAUGGUUCAAUAGUGAAAGACGGUUUUGCUGUCACUUAUAGAUGGAUCCGCGCCGCAUUAGCUAGUUGGUAAGGUAACGGCUUACCAAGGCAACGAUGCGUAGCCGACCUGAGAGGGUGAGCGGCCACACUGGAACUGAGACACGGUCCAGACUCCUACGGGAGGCAGCAGUAGGGAAUCUUCCGCAAUGGGCGAAAGCCUGACGGAGCAACGCCGCGUGAGUGAUGAAGGUCUUCGGAGCGUAAAACUCUGUUAUUAGGGAAGAACAAAUGUGUAAGUAACUAUGCACGUCUUGACGGUACCUAAUCAGAAAGCCACGGCUAACUACGUG
rnacentral:rRNA from 1 species